AGCAGUGUGGUGUAGUGGUUUGAGCAUUAGACCACACUCUAGAGAUCAGGGUUUGAAUUCCUACUCAGCUA